rnacentral:misc_RNA from 1 species
GGUAUCGGCAGUCUCGUUCGAGUGGUUCAACCGUGAACACGUAGGAGACAGUCAGCUUCAGUGCCUCCGAUUCGCUAAACGUGGAGUAACGAACCGUUUCAAUCUCUCAGUGCUCUUCAAGCGAUCCUGCAGGCUCAAUCUUACCAUCAGGCGUAACGAUCAGUGGACAGUCCUCUGCGAAGUCUUCAGUUUUGAACGAUAUCUCCCAGCAUGCGUGAAGAUAUUACGAAGUUAUUGUGACAUCCGAGACCAUCGCACCGCUUCAGAGACCACGUCACACACCGCGGGCAAGAUGGAUGCCAGAUGUCUACACAUCCUUACUGGGUACCUUCGAUAGGCUUAGGGAC